rnacentral:sRNA from 1 species
GCGGUCUUUCCUGUUGGUUUCCCGUUCCGGCUGCGUGGGAGAGCGCAUGCCAGACGGGUUGAAGCGCGA